ACAGGUGAUACAGGUUUAACUUAUACAAUGUACCAGUGUAAUGUUUUAAAUUCAAAAAAAAUAUACGUCAACCUAACAUUUAGUGCUAUUCUCCUUGCCUUCAAACUGGAAAUGAGGAUACCUGAAUGGUUUAAAUUCUAAUUUUAUUUUUUUCCUUAUACCAUAUUCAUAUCUAUACAAAAUCUUUGUGAGGUCUUAUAAUGUUUUUGUAUCAAUGCUCAGUAUUAGAGUGUAUCAUGAAGUUGUGAAAAAUUGACAGAAAUAUGCGGAGCAAAAGACUGUGCUUGCAUCAUCCAUUUUUGUUCAGCAGGUCAUAAAACACUGAUAACUUGUACAAAAAUUCUGUACAAAUUGUAAUUUGUACAACAUUACAACUUGUACACAACAUAUAUAUAAAUAAAAUUAAAUGUGUAUUUUAUUUUUUAGAAAAUUAAAAAACUUAAACCCAGCAAUUUUAGCCCCCCUUUUUUUUACAGUGCUGCAACAUAUUAGGUUACUGUUAAUGCAUAGAAUAUUUUACAUGUUCUACUCUAACAUGUCCAAACAUUGCCUAGUUUCGUGGGCCUCAGGACCCUCUUUUUGGAAAAUCCUGGAUCUGCAUCUUGAAUAUAUACAUGUAUACUUUAAAUACAUGUAAGUUUUAAAUACAUGCAAGUUGACAUCUUGUGGUUAAACAUGAUAUCAUUUGAUGCUGAUAUGUUAUUGGAAGUAUGUAAUAUAUACUUUAAUAAAGAAUUUUUCUUAAAAAUAGUUGUUUAAAAUUCAAAAAUACAAUUAAGUUUCCUAGAAUCCGGGUCUGUUCAUGCCCAAUCACCUUUGUGCCCACUCAUGUUCGCCCUCUUUCGCAUUCGCACCCUACAUGUUGUCGCCCCUUUUUUUUUUGGUUUUGUGUUUUUAUUUGUUAUUGAGUUUUGGUAAACGUGGUAAAUGUAUUGCUAUAAACAUACCUUUUUUCAUAGUUUCCAAAUAAAGUGAGAUUCUGAUAAAAAAAAUUGUGUCAUGGUAUUUUAAAUUUAUUGCUUUAAACAUGAUAAACAUUUGGUUUUUUUUUUACAUUUAUAAUUAACAUUUAAUAAUUAUGACAUCAAAUUAAUUUUAAAAAAUCUUUAUUAUAAUUCCUCACAUUUUAUUUAAGAAAAUAUGAUUAUUUGGUAUAAACAUAUAGCUGAAAUGAGAAUAAAAAUUGGGCGUGAACGUGUAGGGUGCGAACAGACUUCGGGGGCGAACAUGUGAGGUGCGAACGUGAAGGAUGCGAACAGACCUGAUACCAGUUUCCUUGCUGAACAAAAAUCAACCUACAUUUGUAAUCAAUGAACAUGAUUGGAAAAUAUUUGCGACAGAUAAAUUCAUUAUAAAUGAUAAUUGAUUUUACUUAUUAAUAGGAAUAAUUAAAGGAAUUAUAGAAGGGAACACACAACUAUUAUUUUAAUAUUUCAUUUCUACUAGGAUUCACAAGAAAUGAAACAUUUG
rnacentral:lncRNA from 1 species